GGAAACAUAGGUUUGCCAUAAACACAAGCACAAAGGCUACAGGCAGACCCACAUACACACUACACACUUGAAGCAGCUACCCCAUACACAUACGGUCCCAGACAAAAACGCAAACAUGCUCAUAGAGACAUACAUUCACACACACUCUCAGGCACAUACACAGGUAAACUGCGCAUCAAUGUGUAUAUGUGACAGUGUAUUUCACUUUUUUGUUAGUGGGGCAUCAUGUUUGAGUUUCGCCUAAGACCUCAAAG